rnacentral:rRNA from 1 species
UACGUAGGGCGCAAGCGUUGUCCGGAAUUAUUGGGCGUAAAGAGCUCGUAGGCGGCUUGCCACGUCGGGUGUGAAAGCCCGGGGCUUAACCCCGGGUCUGCAUUCGAUACGGGCAGGCUGGAGUUCGGUAGGGGAGACUGGAAUUCCUGGUGUAGCGGUGAAAUGCGCAGAUAUCAGGAGGAACACCGGUGGCGAAGGCGGGUCUCUGGGCCGAUACUGACGCUGAGGAGCGAAAGCGUGGGGAGCGAACAGG